GACGAACGCUGGCGGCGUGCUUAACACAUGCAAGUCGAACGGAAAGGCCUCUUUCGGGGGGUACUCGAGUGGCGAACGGGUGGGUAACACGUGAGUAACCUGCCCUUGACUUUGGGAUAACUUCAGGAAACUGGGGCUAAUACCGGAUAGGAGCUCCUGCUGCAUGGUGGGGGUUGGAAAGUUUCGGCGGUUGGGGAUGGACUCGCGGCUUAUCAGCUUGUUGGUGGGGUAGUGGCUUACCAAGGCUUUGACGGGUAGCCGGCCUGAGAGGGUGACCGGCCACAUUGGGACUGAGAUACGGCCCAGACUCCUACGGGAGGCAGCAGUGGGGAAUAUUGCACAAUGGGUGGAAGCCUGAUGCAGCAACGCCGUGUGCGGGAUGACGGCCUUCGGGUUGGAAACCGCUUUCGCUCAUGACGAAGCUUUGUGUGACGGUAGUGGGUAAAGAAGCACCGGCUAACUACGUG
rnacentral:rRNA from 1 species